GUUUCACUAUGUUGGCCAGGCUGGUCUCAAACCCCUGAUUUUGUGAUUCACCCGCUUCGGCCUCUGAAAGUGCUGGGAUUACAGGUGUGAGCCACCGUGCCCAGCCUCUACCUGUGUUUUUCUUACUCAGAUGGGACACAAAGCCUCAGAUCAUCAGAAAGCUGGAAGCAAUGGUUGCUUUUCUGACUCUUGGAAUAUCAGAGCUGGCUUAGAACCUUCUCUCCUCUCACUCUGUCUUUACAGAUGAGGGAAUGUGGGCCCCUUAGGGAAGUGACUCAUCCCAGGGCCCAAGUUCCAGCUCAAGUUCUGAAAAUAUUUUCUGAGUACGUUUGCCUCUUCCUGCUCACCUUGCCACGUGAUCCUGUGAGUCUGAGCAAAUCAGUGGCGAUUGAUGGGUGGACAGUGUGGGGCUGAGACAGUGGUCAGAGAUGAGAGAGGAGAAGGAACGAGACUCCCUCCACAGUGCUCCUCAAUCAUGUCCUGGAGAUGAGCUUGUUGUUUUGUCUCACACCUCUUAAAAAAAAAAAAAAAAAAAAAAAAAAAAAAAAAAAAACAGAGGACAGGAGUGUGGAUUCCCAUUGACCAAGGCUGUCUGGUAGAGGACUGUUUCUCAGGGUUGAGCCUUGCCCUAGCCAGGUUGGACCUAGCUGCUCCCUCCUCUCUGCUCCGUAGAACGCUGGACAUCGAUUGUAGCACCUGUCAUGUCACAUUUUUCUCUGAUGUACUGUUCAUUUUUCUUGUAAAUACAAAAGUGAUACACGCUUAUUGUAGAAAAUUUGGAAAAUACAGACAUGUAUGAAUGAUGAAAUAAAGGUCUCCUGUAAUUGCCCACCUAGUAAUAACCA